rnacentral:rRNA from 1 species
UGGGGAAUUUUCCGCAAUGGGCGAAAGCCUGACGGAGCAAUGCCGCGUGGAGGUGGAAGGCCUACGGGUCGUCAACUUCUUUUCUCGGAGAAGAAACAAUGACGGUAUCUGAGGAACUAAGCAUCGGCUAACUCUGUGCCAG